rnacentral:rRNA from 1 species
AGUGAGGAGUUUUGCGCAAUGGGGGAAACCCUGACGCAGCAACGCCGCGUGAGUGAAGAAGGCCCUUGGGUCGUAAAGCUCUGUCAACUGGGAAGAAGUUGUUAUUGUUUAAUAAAUGAUAGCAUUGACGGUACCAGUGGAGGAAGCGCCGGCUAACUCCGUGCCAGCAGCCGCGGUAACACGGGGGGCGCAAGCGUUAUUCGGAAUUAUUGGGCGUAAAGGGCGCGUAGGCGGUUCUGUCGGUCAGAUGUGAAAGCCCGGGGCUCAACCCUGGAAGUGCAUUUGAAACAGCAGAACUUGAGUACGGGAGAGGAAAGCGGAAUUCCUGGUGUAGAGGUGAAAUUCGUAGAUAUCAGGAGGAACACCGAUGGCGAAGGCAGCUUUCUGGACCGAUACUGACGCUGAGGCGCGAAGGCGUGGGUAGCGAACAGGAUUAGAUACCCUGGUAGUCCACGCAGUAAACGAUGUUCACUAGGUGUAGCGGAUAUUAAAAUCUGCUGUGCCGCAGCUAACGCAUUAAGUGAACCGCCUGGGAAGUACGGUCGCAAGACUA